CCUACGGGAGGCAGCAGUGGGGGAUAUUGGACAAUGGGGGGAACCCUGAUCCAGCGACGCCGCGUGAGUGAAGAAGUAUCUCGGUAUGUAAAGCUCUAUCAGCAGGGAAGAAAAUGACGGUACCUGACUAAGAAGCACCGGCUAAAUACGUGCCAGCAGCCGCGGUAAUACGGAGGAUGCGAGCGUUAUCCGGAUUUAUUGGGUUUAAAGGGUGCGUAGGCGGAAUGCCAAGUCAGUGGUAAAAUCGCGGGGCUCAACCUCGCUCCGCCGUUGAAACUGGCGUUCUUGAGUGGGCGAGAAGUAUGAGGAAUGCGUGGUGUAGCGGUGAAAUGCAUAGAUAUCACGCAGAACUCCGAUUGCGAAGGCAGCAUACCGGCGCCCAACUGACGCUGAAGCACGAAAGCGUGGGUAUCGAACAGGAUUAGAUACCCGGGUAGUC
rnacentral:rRNA from 1 species